CUUUCUCUUUUCUCAAUUUGCCAAUUUGCCGUCAUUGUUGAAGAUCUCACCCACUAAUCAAAGUCAUAUUUGAUGUGAAUGUUCUCUUCAAUUCAAAGUUUAUCUUAAUAUUAUGCUAAACUUAGACUUAGUCUAAACCUUACUGACUUGAUUUCAACUUUUCUUUAUAUUUCUUCUUUUUAUACAUAACUUUUCAAACUUUUAAUCUUACACAAAAAGCAUGUCAUUCUUCUCUGACAACAUUUUAUUUCAAUUUUUCUUGAUGGUGUGCUUCAUUUGAAAUUUCAUUUUACUUUAUAUUUCAAUUUUGCUCAUAAGUUAUGAUUGGAGUUUAUUCUAAUUUUUUCCAGUGUCUUAAUAUUUUUCCAUAGUGUGUUUGAUUUUUUAAUUUUCUAUGCAAAAAUUAGUGUUAAUAAUUGUGUCUAACUUUUCUUGUACUCUGUCCUUUAGUUUGAAUGCUUCAUCCUCUGUUCUGCUUCUAAUUUUUCUUAUAUUUUAUCCUGUGUUUUGAAUGCUUAAACUUUUACACUUGUUUUAACCUGUUUUGCUAUUAAUUGUUGUUUACUUGUUGUGAUAUAAGGUUUGCGUGAUUAGUUAGUUGAUGGCAUACAAGUAAUGAAGAACUUUUAAGUAACACAGUUAGUUAAUACUCAAUUAUUAAAAUAUUGCAAGACAUUUCUUAAAAGUGUUUUAUGUUUUAUGUAAUUGUAUUUACCUAUAAUGAAGUUGAUAGCGAAAGAAAUAUUUAAUACUUUUUUUUUCUUUUUUUUUUCUUUUGGAAGGAAUCGAGGGAUACAAACUAUAUCUUCAUAUAUGGAAAAUUAAUUUAGUUAUAUCAGUUGCUAAGUGAAGAUCAAGAUCAUUUGUUUAUUAGUGUGUACGUAUUGAUGUGUUUUGGGAUUAUUAAAAUUUGACGUGUUUGAUAAAGAGUGAUUUAUUCAUAAGUAAACUAUGUUUUGGGAUUAUUAAAUUACGUAUUGAUACUUUUAUUUUCGUGAGGGGAAUGCAUGUGCUGAUAAGUUGACUAAUUUAGGGUUCAUUCAUAGAUAAUCAUUUUAUUGGUAUAAUAGACUUCUAUCUAGUAUGUUCUUAGAAUUCUUUAUGAAUAGGUAUAGUCUACCUAUGUAUCGUUUUUGUUAACAUGUGAGUUUUGGUCUAAUCCUCCCAUAUUUUGGUAUUUUUUUUCUUUUUUUUAAUAAUAUGUUUUUCAUGUGAUGGCAGAUGAUUGUUGUUACUUGAGGUGUCAGCCUAGCUGAGAUGUCAAGUUGCAUAAUGAUGUCUAACAUGGAAAAUUUUAUAAAAAAUAAAAAAACAAAAAAAAACUAUGGUUUUUGUUAUUGAGAAAUUGUUUUUAAGAAAGUGUUGAUUACAAAUUACUAUUUUUUUUAAAAAAAAAUUGUUUUGAACAUCGUAACAUCUUUUUAAUGAAAAAUAUUUAUUGCAUAUAGGGGCUUUUAACAAGUUUGGAAUUGAGUGGAAAUUGGUGUUGGUUUAUGUUGCAAGUUGAUGGUUGAAUCAUAUUCAUAGAUAGAGUUGGUACUUUUUAAUAAUGUAAUUUAGUAUAUUAUUGAUAUUUUAAAAUGAUAAAGAGUGUGUGUAUAAUCUCAAUAAUAUAUGAUUUAAAUGUAUUAAAAAUUGAACUUUAAACAUAAAUCAACUUUAAAAAAUCGACUCAUAAGUUAAGGUUUGCACUUACUUAUAUAUUAUGAAAUGUUUUUAUCUUUGGUCGAUGUAGGAUUUUCAACAUUUCCCUUCACGUCAAGAUCUAUCAAUUCGUGUGUGAAACUAUAUAUUUAUAGGUGGUCAGAUAGCAACCGACCUUAUAAGUCUAACAAACUCUCAUUAGGAUAAACUGUAAAUGACUCUAAUACCAUAUUAAGAAGUGAAUUUUAAGCUUAAUUCAAUUUUAUAAAAUCAAUUCAUAAGGUAAUAUUUACACUCACUUAUAUAAUAUGAAAUGUUUUUAUUUCUAGUCGAUCUGAAAUCUCGAACAAAAUGUGAAAAUAUUCAAUUUUACAAGUAUGAUUAUUAUAAUUAUUAAAUAGGAGAGAUAUGAUUAUUAAGAUCUCAUUACUUGUAUUAUAAAAAAAACCCACGAACUAAAUUUUGUAUUGAUAAAAACUUGAGGAUUGUGGUUGAAAAGGCAGAACAAUUGUAAGAAUUAUCUUUUCAAGCAUAAUACAAAGUAUUUCUUUGUAAUUGAUAAAAAUUUAAACUGACACAUCAAAUAUUUAAAUUAUAUUAUUGAAAAUGGGUUCAUAGAUGAUUUAAAGAAGUAUAUGGUACAAGUUGAAAAUUUAAGAGGUUUUAAAGCAAUAAUAAUCAUAAAAUUUGGAGGAAUGACGUCCAUUCAAAAGUGAUAGGAUGAAAAAAGAAAGACAUGUAUGUUGUUUUAAUAGACUUCCACCAACUAAAUAUUUAAAUAUCUCAUCUCAAAAUUCUAUAACAGAGAAUAAGAUUAACAAUUUAGAAAAGAUUUUUAAAAAUCUUUUAUCUUUUCUUUAGAAAACAUUUUUAAAAAUCUUUUAUCUUUUCUUUAGAAAACAUUUUUAAAAAUCUUUUAUCUUUUCUUUAAACAUGAUGAGUGGUAAUUGUUCUUGCCAACAAUGUGGAAUCACAUCUUCAAGGUAGUCUCCGAACAAUCUUUCGGUAUUGUAGUCCUUGAGUGCUUGAAGAUCACCAAGUGAUGAGGGGAGCUCCACUCGUUGACAAGACUUCGACAAUCAAAUCAGUGAGAACAUUAAAUAUUUCAAUGUAGUAUGUAUUGCAUAGAAUAAUACUUGUCUUUGUUUGGGGACUCAUGACCCUUAUAUAGGACUCGUAGAUCCUUUUUUAGGAGUUUGUAAUCAGACACUUCCUUUGAACUUUUAGUUACACGAUUCGAUUUGUUGGACUCGAUCCGACUGACCCGAAAACGUCUAUUGAGUCCGAUCCAUUGGACCGAAAACACCCGAUCCACAUUAUCGGGUUCUACCCCGAUCUUGACUGAACGAUACAGUAAUAUACAAAUUGUAAAUAAAAAAUAAAAAAUAUAGUAAUUACAUUUAAUCAUCUAUAAAAAAAUUUAAUACUAAUAUGAUAUUUUAAAAAGAUAUUUUUUUCGGAAACACUUGAUGAUGAUGGAAGGAUUGAAAUUAUUCUAAUAGUAAUGUUUAAACACAGUAAAAAAAAGUCAAGUGAUAUGAUAAUGAUUGAAAAUUUACUUUUAAAUACAAUUAUCAUUUUUUACUAUAAGAUCAAUUUUUUUAAUGUGAUUACAUAUAUUUUAUAAAUGAUGUGGAUUUUUAUGGCCUGUACACAUCAUUAAUGAGUGAGAUAAUAUGUUUAAUCAUUUGCCAUUUAAUUUUUAGUACUUUCAAUGAACAAAUGAGAUUCAUAUGUAAGAAAUUUAGCAUCGAUUAUGACUCAUAGGACACAAAAUGUAUUUCAUUGAGUUGAGUGUGGUAUUUCAAUACCUAAUUAAUAUUUUUUUUGUCAUUAGUAAUUUGGUAUUGAUUUAAAAUCGAAAUUGUUGUUGACUAUUAAGAUUUAUUUGCUUUUGUAACUAUUAUGUUUUCCUCUUAUAAAUUUUGUUUAUAUUUUAGAUUAUAAAGUUGUUGUAAAACAUUGCAAAAACUUUUCUUAGUGGUUUUUAUCUAGUACAAUCAUUUAUAUUUUAGUGGACUUUUAUUGAAUUGAAUACACCCUACUCCAAUAGCCUAUGACGAGUCACACAAAUUUCAUUUGACAACAAAGAAUCUAUAGGGACAAAAAGUGGAACUUAUAGAGAAUCUUUAAAUUCAAAUUGAUAUUUUGAAUAAGUGAACAAAAAGUUAAACCCAUUUAUUAUAGCCAUUGUUUCCAAAAAUAUUUAAUAGUGAAUAUUUGAGCAAAUAAUGUAGAAUGUAUUAUAGCUAAAGACAAACAUCAUAUUAUUGUUUGGUACACGGAAAAUGUUAUAUUAUCACAAUUAUCGGUAUAUAUUAAUAAAUUUAUUCUCAAAAUUUUAACUAAUAAAUUUAUUCCACCAUUUUAUACAUGGACUAUAAUGAUAGAUUGUUAAAUGCCCUUAAAAUUUUACAUCACACUUUAUAUAGUAAAAAUAUUAUCAUGAUAUCUAUUACAAUGAAAGAAUGACAUAAACAAAAAUAUUUUGGUAUUAAAAUAUUAACGAAAAAUAAUAAAUUAUAUGGUAUUAUUAGUAAAGUAAGGAACUAAAAAUUAUUGAAGUUUUUGUGGAAUAAACUCAUACGGAAUAAUAUGUCAAAAAAAUUAAUUGAACUUAACAAUUGUUUUUUAUUAGCUAUAAGAAUGAAAUUAAUAAAGAUAUAUAUUUUAGAGAUAUAUUAACCUUAUACAAAAUCAUCAUUAUCAAACUUUCAUCUUGCAUUAAGUCUAUAAUGAUAUUAUACUCAAAACAGAUUAAUCAUACUAAAAACCACAACAUAAUCUAUUAAUCCAAACUUCUUAAAAAUGAUGUUCUUCUCAUAUUGAAUAUAUAGUUUUUAUUGAAGUUAAUAGUAACUCAUCAUGAUUAAAAAACAUGUUGUUUAGAGUUAAUUUUGUUUGAUAGACAAUUAUAUCAUCUAACUAUAUUACUUUAUUGUGUAAUUCCACUAUAUUGAUAUAAGUCUCAAUUUGAUGUACGGGAAAAGAUAGAAAAGAAAGAAAUGGGAGGAGUACAUUUGUUUAGUUAAUUAAAAAAGCUAAAUAAAUAUGUUUAAAAAAUUGUGAAACUGUGAAGUAUAUGAUAAGAAAAUCUGAACUUGUAAAUAUUUAUAACUAAAGUCUGCAAAAAGUAUAAAUAUUUUAAUUAUUUAUUUGUUAAAAGAGUGAAUAUGGAUAUCAUGCUAUUUAGUUAGCGAAUGUUCACUGUCCAUUAUUAAUUAUUUUUAUUUGAAUAUAUUUUUUAAUUAAGCAAUUGAGUAAAAUUAUUAACGAGAAAACAUUAAAAAUUGAUGAAUUAUUUAUAACUUAAUUUUAUAAAUGUAUAGUUUUUAUUUAGACUUGUGGAGCUAAAAUUAUCUUCAAAAGAUUAAUUUUAUUUAAAGUUAUAUUGUGAAGAAUUUUUUUAGAAUGAUUAAUUUUUUUCUAAUAAUAGCUUAUGAAACAUUUUUAUUAUAAUUAUACAUUAAUAUCAAUAUUUUAUCUUAUUUUAUUUUAUGUUUUAAAGAAUAAUUUUUAAAUAAUAUUAUUUUCUUAAAAGAAGGAUCCACGUGUAUCUAUUGAAAUAGGCAAGUAUUUUAAAUAACAUUAUAUUUUUUUAGUAGAAAUACUUCUUCAUAAGAUUUAUUUAUAAAUAACAAGUCACUUUAGAUAUGGUUAUCUCCUACUUCCAUAUCAAUGUAGACUCUUAUAUGUGUGACGUCAUUUAUUAUGAACUUGAAAUGUACUAUCUUAAGUGUAUCCUAUAGAAAACACCAUCACAUUCAAGUCAAAUAAUAUAAAAAUUAAGUAAUAAAUGAAUAAUACAUAUUUUGAGAUCUUCACCAUUAACUUUUAUUUAUAUCGAGUAUCGGUGGUUAAAUAUGACUUUAGUAUUGAGUUAAGAUUUUAAUAAUAAAAAUAUAGUGUAAGGGAAAAUAAUGUUAAUAUUUUAAUACUUUUGCGUGUUGAAAGAAAGAAAACAAAUCUAAAAAUAACUAUAGUUUAAACUUCGUUAAUUUUAAUAAAAAGCAUCUUCAAAACCGUAUUUAGUAGUAUAUAUAAUUGUAUUAUUUCCAGUUAUUUAUUUUAUUUUGUAGAUGCUUUCUAAAUUUAAAGGAAGAACCCAGACUUUAACCAAAACAUAUUUCUAUCCAAAAUAAAUGUAUGGUUAUGGGAAAAAAUAGCCUACAAUUGAUCAUACAAUCCAUUCAUUAAAUAAUGGAGUACAAUACAAUGUGCUAUAAUGAACCCAACAACGUCUUGUUCUAGGUUUUGUAUAUUCAGUCAUUGAUUUCUAAAUUUUUAUAUGAAUGUUUACAAUAAUAUUUCAAGGUCAAGUUAGUACUUCCUCCGAAUAAAGAAUAUAAAGUAAAAAAAGUUAAGAAUUCAUUAAUUAAUACUUAGUUUGAAGAAAAAACAUAUAAUAAAAAGUUAUAUAUUUAUUAUUUUCAAUUCACCUAUUUAUAACGGUAUUCUUCUAGUUAAGAAGAAUGUCUUCCAACUAAAGAUUUAGUUUAGUCAAAAAUAGUUAUUUCCAACUAAAUUGUAGUUCUGUCUCAUACCAUCAUCUUCCUCUUUUAUUUAAUAAUUAUUUCUCUAUUAUAGUAUUUGUCUCAUUCUUAGAUACAUUCUUAGAUUAAUUACAAUCUCGCAUAUUCAGUUAAUGUUUGUCACUUUCAAUAAAAAAAAUAAAAAAAAAUUUCAUUAUUUUAAUAAAUAGAUCAAUAUCAUAACCGUUUUCAUCUAUUAUUGGAAUCGACUUAUGAUCUCACAGUUCUCAAAUUCCAACAUAAUCCAAUGAGACUAAUAAGAUCAUGAAGUAAUUAAUUAUAGGAUGUAUCUUAAAUUUUGACUGAAAUCCAUACCAUUGAGGUUGAUGCAAAAGUUCACAUAUACUAUUAUACCUCAUCUAUAGAAAUGAUUAAUUGAGAUCCAAAUAGACUUAGAUGCGCUUAAUCAUAAUUUAUAUAUUGUUUACUUUACUCUACUUAUUAAUUAUAUUAUUACACCCUUAAUUUCACUUUAGAGAUACUUGCAUCAUUCAGUGGUGAGAUGUUGGGAUAUCGAGUGUGAUAUCGACACCUCAUAUAUUCCGGUACAAUGCAUUUGAGGAAAAUAAAAACCGAUCAUAUGUAUAAUUUUUUGUUUUCUUCCAUGCUUGGUUGUCACUUAGGUCAAUUCAGCACGAACCAACAUACUCCAUUUCAUCUUCUCAUAAAUCGAAGACAAUAAUUCCAGGAAAUGAAAAUGGGGUAUGUUAAUAAAGAAAAAAAAUAAGAGAAAAUUGCACAUAAAUAAAAUUCAAUUGAGUUCUUAAAUUACAAUGAUAUUGAAAAGAGUAGAAAUAUAUAGUUAAUUUGGUGAAUAAACAAAGUAGGUUGGAAAAAUGCGAUGAAAGCAUGAUAAGAUAGUUGUGGUUGUCUGUGGAAAUGCGAAACCCCUCUUUCUUGUUUUGUUUUGCACAUAUUUUACAAGCAAAUCCGACAAACAGAAAGAAUUGCAUAAGUCCAAACCUACUGGUAUUAUUUAGACGUUAAUAAUUGCCAGCUUUUGCCAGCUCCUACUUCAUCAUUAAAAUAUAAUUUAAAAAAAUAGACACAGAAACAGUAGUGAAGACUUUGCUCCUCAGUCCCAAAAAAUGACAACGGGAUACACUGGAUUUCCACACUUUCUCACAUGCUCGUCUUUUUCAUUUUCUGCCACGUGUAUUGUAAUGUAGCAAGGUCCCUCUGGUUCCAGCUGCGCAAACCUCACUCUCUUCCUUCAUCAUCAUCAUCAUCAUCAUCUUCUACCACUACAGCCACAAUAAACAUGCAUACCGUAUUUUUUCUUUUCAAAUAUUAUACGUAUACUUUUUGAUAUUUUAUUUCCGUUUGAGUUGAGUAGUUGUUCUCCAUUUGCAACGGUUACCUAAUAUUAUUCUCUGUUUCCAUCUACCCCAUUAUCAACUACGUAUUGCAUAUAAAACAUUAGCGAUAAUGAAAGAAAGGGUCAUGUAUCUGCUUUCUCAAUCAUUAAUGCAAAAUUACCGAAUUUAAUGAUGUUACCAUUACGAAUGGAGAAAGGGUCAAACCAAAAAUAAAAAGUGCACCUUUUCAACUGGCGGACAAAGGACGAGACACGAGUGGCAUCAACGCGGGUAAAGCACCCCGCGUUUUACUACCAGACGGAACCCAUCAACGGGCUAUAAAGGACACACGUGUGAGUUCUAGAUCAACGGUCAAAACACAAGGGCACUCUAGUAAUAUCGUUAAACGACUUUAUGAGUUGUUGAAAAGUUAUGGUCUUUCCGAGGAAAGAAAAAGUAAAAAAUAAUAAUAAAAAUGGAUUUUUUUUCAUUAUUUUCAUAGUACACAUUUUGUUUUCAUUAAUGGAAUUUUAAAUUGUAUUAUUUUUUGUUGUUAGAACAAACAGAGGGCUAGAGUGAAAAUAAAUUUAACGGGGAGAGGAGAGAGAGUGGGAAGCAUAUGAGAAUAGGAAGAUGGGUGGAAAAAACGCCGUACAGAGGGGUGGCGGAUGACAGCGACUGCUCACUGACCCACAUAACUGACACGUGUCCUGACGCAAAAGGGUGUGGAGGUAAUAUUGAGCAAGCAUAAUGGAGAAAAAGGCAAAGAAGGAACACACAUUAACAAAAAUCAAUUGGGCAGAAGAUCCACAUAUGCCAGCUAAUAUUUUGCACAUUUACAGAAAGAGAGGAAAAAUUGUAGUAGAGGCGGAAGAAAGUUGAAAUGAAGAUAAAAUAAAAAAAAAGAAUAAAGAAUAAAAAAGUGGGAAUGGAGAGUUAAGUGUUGACCCAUUAUUAUUACUCACAUCACACCGGCCUGACCUAGUCCAGGGUAUUAGGGAAGAUGAGGAAUGGGGACAGGCAGCAUAGAAGGAGUAGAUGCACAUCACAACAUAUAAAAAUAUUAAUAUAUAUAGUAAGGUUGGGAAAAUAAUGAGAUAAAAAAAAUUGUGUGUGAGCAUAUAGAAGGAAAUUAAAUUAGGACAUUGGAGUUGGAGGAAUCUUUGAGCAUUAUUGAUGCAUUAAUCGCCACUCCUUCAACGGUUCAUAUCUUACCUCUUUUUAUAUAUUCUGUUCCCUUAUCAUCUUCCACUGCUCAACUCUCUCUCUCUCUCUCUCUAACACAAGCUUCCGUUUUUCUGUUUCUCUUCUCUCUACUCAGAACAUGGGUUCUUCUGCAGUACAAUUGUUUCUCAUCUUGGGGCUUCUGGCUACUUCUUGCAUAGCACAAGCCCCAGGUGGCGCACCCACGCAGCCUCCCACAACCACCCCACCACCACCGCCCGCAGCAGCACCAGUACCUGCACCCACUGCACCCGCAACUCCACCACCAUCUUCACCACCACCUGCACCCACACCCGCACCCACACCAACUGCUCCCACUCCUGCUCCAGCUUCUUCUCCUUCAUCUGCUGCAUCUCCCUCAGCUGAGUCACCAGGCUCUCCUACAUCUCCCCCAGCACCACCGGCCCCCUCAUCUGCACCUUCACCCUCAGUCAGCGAACCACCACCCUCACCCUCCUCCGCAUUCUCCGUUGGCAAGGCCUUCGUUGCCGGGUCUGCGCUCGCGGGAACCUUCGUAGCCAUGGUCUUGGCUUGAAGACAGACCUGACGGUUGGGAUUCGUCCACGUGGAGGCUCUUGGGCCCUUGAUCUUGUUUUACAGCGACGGACGGACGGACGGGAUCUGUUUCAUUUAUUUUAUCCUCUGGUCUUGUUGAGUAGCGGUUUUCUUUUUCUCUCUUUGGGGUUUUAUGUGUUAGUUUUGUUCGUUCGUGGUUGAUGUGUUUGUUGAUUCGAUAUCUGGGAGGGUUGGGUGUUGAUGAUGAUGAUGAUGAUGAUGAUGAUGGUGAUGGUAUUCAUGAUUAUGAUGAUUAUUUUGUGAUUCAUUGUUCUGGUGUUCACACGUGUACGUAGAUGACCUUGAUGAUUUCAUUGUACAUCUAAUAAUUGAAAGAAUAAAACAGUUUGUCAUUCUUUUUACUUACAAUCUUGUUCC
rnacentral:lncRNA from 1 species